rnacentral:sRNA from 1 species
GCCAGAUGUGGUAGCCCACACCUGUAAUCCCAGCAACUGGGGAGGCUGAGGCAGGGGAAUCACAACUUCCAGGCCGUUCUGAGCAACUUAGUGAGACCCUGUCUCAA